AAUUACCCAAUCCCGACACGGGGAGGUAGUGACAAGAAAUAUCGAUACGUGGGCUUCAUGCCUUCGUAAUUGGAAUGAGAACGCUAUAAACUCGCUAUCGAGUAUCAAUUGGAGGGCAAGUCUGGUGCCAGCAGCCGCGGUAAUUCCAGCUCCAAUAGCGUAUAUUAAAGUUGUUGCAGUUAAAAAGCUCGUAGUUGGAUCUCAGUGUGACGGCGCCGGUCCACUUCAAGUGGUACUGGCGCAUGUUAACCUUUCUCACGGAUAAGGUAGAUACUCUUUAUUGCGUGUCUAUCUUCUAUCCGCGACGUUUACUUUGAACAAAUUGGAGUGCUUCAAGCAGGCUUCUCGCCUGAACAUUUAUGCAUGGAAUAAUGAAAUAUGACCUGAUCAUAUUUUCGUUGGUUUGGUGCGAUCAGGUAAUGAUUGAGAGGGACAUACGGGGACAUUCGUAUUGUGGCGGGAGAGGUGAAAUUCUACGAUCGCUACAAGACGCACUAAUGCGAUGGCAGCUGUCAAGCGUGUUUCCAUCAAUCAAGAGCGAAAGUCAGAGGUUCGAAGACGAUUAGAUACCGACCUAGUUCUGACUGUAAACCAUGUCGGCUGGCGAUCUGCUGAUUAAUGAUAACGCAGACCAGUGGGCAGCCCUCGGGAAACCAAAGCUUUUGGAUUCCGGGGGAAGUAUGGUUGCAAAGCUGAAACUUAAAGGAAUUGACGGAAGGGCACCACCAGGAGUGGAGCCUGCGGCUUAAUUUGACUCAACACGUGGAAUCUCACCAGGUCCGGACAUAGUAAGGAUUGACAGAUUGAGAGCUCUUUCUCGAUUCUAUGGAUGGUGGUGCAUGGCCGUUCUUAGUUGGUGGAGCGAUUUGUCAGGUUAAUUCCGAUAACGAACGAGACUCUAGCCUGCAAACUAGAUACCCCUCACGUGGUGAGAGGGUAAACUUCUUUGAGGGACAAUCGGCAUUUAGUCGAACGAGAAAGAGCAAUAACAGGUCUGUGAUGCCCUUAGAUGUUCUGGGCCGCACGCGCGCUACACUGAAAGACACAACGGGUAUCUCACUUUGCUCGGAAGAGUUGAGUAACCCUGCAGCGUCUUUCGUGCCAGGGAUCGGGGAUUGCAAUUAUUUCCCGUGAACGAGGAAUUCCCAGUAAGCGCGAGUCAUCAGCUCGCGUUGAUUACGUCCCUGCCCUUUGUACACACCGCCCGUCGCUACUACCGAUUGGAUUAGUACGUGAGGAGUUUGGACCUAGCUGAAGUCCGGGGGUUUCGGCUCUUGGUUUCGGCCGGGAAAGAACGCCAAAUGUAUUUGUCUA
rnacentral:rRNA from 1 species